UAGGGAAUAUUGCGCAAUGGGCGAAAGCCUGAUGCAGCAACGCCGCGUGCGGGAAGACAGCCCUAGGGUUGUAAACCGCUUUCAGCAGGGAAGAAACUGACGGUACCUGCAGAAGAAGAUGCGGCCAACUACGUGCCAGCAGCCGCGGUGACACGUAGGCAUCAAGCGUUAUCCGGAUUUAUUGGGCGUAAAGAGCUCGUAGGCGGUUCGGUAAGUCGGGUGUGAAACUCUGGGCUCAACCCAGAGAGGCCACUCGAUACUGCUGUGACUAGAGUGCGGUAGGGGAGCGGGGAAUUCCUGGUGUAGCGGUGAAAGUGCGCAGAUAUCAGGAGGAACACCGGUGGCGAAGGCGGUCACCUGGGCCAGUACUGACGCUGAGGCGCGAAAGCGUGGGGAGCAAACAGGAUUAGAUACCCUGGUAGUCCACGCCGUAAACGAUGAGCACUCGGUGCC
rnacentral:rRNA from 1 species